rnacentral:rRNA from 1 species
GACGAACCGUGCGAACGUUGUUCGGAAUCACUGGGCUUAAAGGGCGCGUAGGCGGGCUGCAAAGUCCGGGGUGAAAUCCUCCCGCUCAACGGGAGAACGGCCUCGGGAUACUUGCGGUCUCGAGGGAGGUAGGGCGUGCGGAACUAUGGGAUGGAGCGGUGAAAUGCGUUGAUAUCCGAUAGGAACUCCGGUGGCGAAGGCGGCACGCUGGACCUUUUCUGACGGCUGAGGCGGCGAAAGCCAGGGGAGCAAACGGG